CGCCGCGGUUAGACGAGUCUUUGGCUCUAGUUGAUAGAUAACGGCGUAAAGUGUGGUUAAGGAAUAUUUAUACUAAAGUCGAAGACCCUCAAAACUGUUAUACGUCCAUGAGAAAGUGAAGCUCCACCACAAAAGUGACUUUAUUUCCCCCGAACCCACGAAAGCUAUGAUA
rnacentral:rRNA from 1 species